AGGCCCUUUAACAGCCACUUCAAAGGGCAGACCUCAGAGCAAGUCUGAGCUGGGCUCUCCUGCCCCUCACUCUGGUCUCUCUUGUCCUGGGGGAAGUUCCUGACUCCUCCUCUGUGAAAUGUGGAUAAUUAAGAAACCACUGUGGGGCUUUUUGAAAAAUCACAUUAGUUGGCAUGAAUCAAGUGCCAGGUGUAACCAGCAAGUCCUCAAUCCAUCGCAGUUCUCUGCAUGCUUUGUCCUUCCUUAUUGGGGACCUGUUCUCACCCCGGUGUACAUUUGUCACAGGGCGUUGUCAGAGAACCUUCCCGUGGUGAGGGCAGGGUCUAGGCCUUGUCUAGGCCUUGAGUUUACAAGGUCACUAAACACAAGUGCCACUGGGGGGCAACAGCCAGCUGAGAAGGCUGCCCUCCAAGCCUGUCCCGCUGGGGACCUGAGGAACUCAAGGGCUUUCUGGAAUCCUGCUUUCCCUGGGAGGUUACCGAGGGCAAAAGGAGAAGACUCUGAAACUCUCUUCUAGCUCUAAAAAAGAUUAUAAUCUGGGAUCGCGGAUGAAACUGAAUCGAUAGCAACAUCCCAUGCCCAGUGCUUAGGAGUAACUAGUAGAUCAGUGGCAAACACCCAGGGAGGCCCAGCCAGCCUGCUGUGGUGAUCGUGGCUAGCUUAAGCAACAAAUCAGCAGCCUAUCCAGAAAGUUAGCAGAAAUGAGAAGUGAGACAGCCACAGAGGGUUUUGCUGAGCUCUCAACCCGCACAAAUUGUGAACCCCUGAGCACAUGAAGAGGAAAAGCAAGAAGACCCAUUAAAAAGUAAGAGCCAAGCCAGGCAUACCUGUAAUCCCAGUGAUCAGGAGGCCGAGGCAGGAGGAUCCCAAGUUCAA
rnacentral:lncRNA from 1 species